rnacentral:rRNA from 1 species
AUGUGCCGUGCGGAGUGCGCACACUACUGUCUACCCACAAUCACCAUGCAUCCUCCUGCAAAGCUGCUGCUCCUCCUCGCCUUCGUCGGCACCUUAUUGCUCGCCGCCUCAUCCCAUGUGCCGGCCGCCUGCACACCGCAGGUGCGGGACGCGCUGCUGGCCUUCAAGCGAGGCAUCACCGGCGAGAUUGGCACCGCUGGCCUCCUCGCCUCAUGGCGCAAAGACGACGUCGACUGCUGCCAGUGGAGAGGUGUCCGGUGCAGCAACCGGACUGGCCAUACCCAUGUCGUCGCGCUGAACCUUCGAGGCCAGGGACUGGCCGGUGAGAUAAGUCCUUCUUUGCUUUCCCUGCCGCAUCUGGAGCAUCUUGAUCUCAGCAACAACAGCAUUACUGGCCGUAUCCCCGGCUUUCUGGGUUCUUUGGCAAACUUGAGAUAUCUUAACCUAUCCCAUGUAGUAUACGUUUCCUCGGUGGAAGUGCCUCCCCACCUUGGCAACCUCUCAAAGCUGCACUAUCUUGACCUGUCAGCCUAUGAGCCAUAUAAAGUUUCCUCCAAGGAUCUCUCAUGGUUAACACGUCUACGGUUUCUAAGGUAUCUCAACCUAGAUUCAGUAGACCUGAGCACGCUAGCUGACUGGCCUCAUGUGGUGAACGCCCUUCCUUCUUUGAGGUCCCUUCAUCUUUCUGGUUGUGGCCUAAUUAGUGCGAACCAGUCGCUCCCACAAUUAAACCUCACUACAACUCUUGAGGAGCUCGACCUUUCUUACAACAACUUUUACAACCCGGUUGCGUCUUGUUGGUUUUGGAACCUAACAAGACUCAAACAUCUCUACCUCGAAAAUAACAAUGGACUAUAUGGUCAGCUUCCUGAUGCAUUGGGGGGUAUGGUAUCCUUGCAAGAAUUAUCCUUGACACAAGGUAACAACAUGAUGAGCAUGGACUCGGCAGACUUGAAGAACCUAUGCAACUUGAGGUUCCUAUACCUUGACACUACUUUCUCAUAUGGAAUCAAAGCGCAGAGGCUGCCACAAUGUUCGUCAAACAGAUUGCACGAGUUACACCUGAUGGGAAACCAAUUGACAGGAACUCUAGCAGAUUGGAUGGGACACCGCACCAGCUUAGUCAUUCUUCAUCUUAGUUUGAACAACAUUACUGGGCCUAUACCGGAAUUUAUAGGGCAGUUUACAAAUUUGAAGUCUCUACAUCUCUCUGGCAACCACCUGACUGGACAUGUGCCAUCUGAAAUUGGCUUUCUCACAAAUUUGACUCUGUUGGAUCUAACUGACAAUCACUUGGAUGGUUUGAUUACAGAAGAACACUUUCAUGGUCUAAAAAGCUUAGAGAUCAUAAUCGUGAAUGAUCCGAUGAUUGCAAAAGAACAGUUAUCUAGUAUUAAUCAAUUGGAGAUUGUGGUAGGUUCAGAAUGGGUUCCUCCAUUUAGACUGCAAGAAGCGUGUCUUGCAUCUUGCCAGAUGGGGCCUCUGUUUCCUGCAUGGCUUAAGUGGCAAGUGGAUCUUACUUACCUUGAUAUAUCAAGCACAGGAAUAAACGAUACGUUUCCAGAUUGGUUCUCUAGUGCCUUUUCAAAGGCCACAUUCUUGGAUAUCUCCAAUAACCGAAUAAGUGGUACCUUGCCAAAAAAUAUGGGUAACAUGUCACUGGAACUUCUAUACUUUGGUUCAAACAAUAUAUCUGGUGGAAUACCUCAAUUGCCCAGAAACCUAAGCACAUUGGACAUACCAAGAAACUCUUUAUCAGGACCGCUGCCAUCAAAUUUUGGGGUUCCAGGCCUGUCUAGGAUACAUCUAUCUUCCAAUUAUUUCACAGGUCAAAUUCCAGUGUCUGUAUGUGGAUUGAACUUAUACUCCUUGGUUUUGGCCAACAAUCUUCUUGAAGGAGAAAUUCCACAAUGUUUUGAAACAAGUGACAUGUCAAUUCUGUCAUUAAGUAACAAUAGCUUCUCUGGCAAGUUUCCACCAUUUCUAGAAAGCUGCACAGAGCUAUCUUACUUAGAUCUGGCAAGCAACAGAUUCUCCGGAACAUUGCCAAUGUGGAUUGGGAACUUGUGGGAACUACAGGUUCUACGUCUGAGCAACAACAUGUUCUAUGGGCAUAUUCCAAAUAAUAUCACAAGCCUCAAAAAACUUUAUCAUUUGAAUCUGGCGGCUAAUAGGAUAUCAGGUACCAUACCUCAUCAUCUAUCAAAUCUAACAGCUAUGACAACACCAUUCGUACUGGAUCCUGGCACAAUCAUUAAAUUUUCCCCACUUUCAUCAAUUGAUAUGCCAGUAGUCAUCAAGAGGCAAGAACUUAAAUACAGAGGUUAUGGUGUUUUGGAGAUAUCGAGCAUUGACUUCUCAUGCAACUAUUUAAAUGGUAAAAUUCCAGAGGAAAUAACGUCUCUUGAAGGAUUGAUAAAUUUGAACUUGUCUUGGAAUCAAUUGAAUGGAGGAUUACCUAACAAGAUUGGGGACAUGCACACAUUGGAGUCGCUUGACAUCUCGAACAAUAAUAUUUCAGGAGAAAUCCCGUCAAGUGUAUCAAAUCUAACGUACUUGAGCAUUCUAGACCUCUCCUAUAAUCAUCUAGCAGGAAGAAUACCAUCAGGAAGUCAACUUGACACUCUUUACAUGGAGAACCCAGCCAUGUACAGUGGCAACAUUGGCCUUUGUGGGCCUAUCCUUCAUAAAAAUUGCUCAGUCAACAGUAAUGCACCGGAGCAUUACCAUCAACAGAGAAGUGAAGAACUUUCAGAGUCGAUGUUGUUCACUUACUUUGGACUUGGGUCAGGGUUUGUGGCUGGCCUUUGGGUUGUUUUCAUUGCUCUGCUCUUCAAGAAAGCAUGGAGGAUUGCUUAUUUCCGCUUCUUUGACAAGGUGCAUGACAAAGCCUAUGUGUUUAUAGUUGUCACUUGGGGCAGGUUAGCUAGGACUAGGUAA